AGGGCUCUAGCAAGAAGAUGCCAGCAGAGGCUUGAAAAGCGCCUACCCCUGGCCUGGGAUGCUUCCUCCUGGGAUGCUCCCACUUGGAACCCAACUAUUGUGCUGCAGAAGUUUAACUUAACUAUGUAAGGAGGCCAAGAGGAGGCCCUGGCUGCCAGCCAGCAUCAACUUCCAGUGACGUGAGUGUGCCAUUCUGCUGGAUCCUGCAGCCUCGGUGGAGCAGCCUCAGCUGAUGCCAUGUGGAACAGAGAUGAACUGCCGCUGCCGAGCUCUGCCCACGUUGCAGAAUCAUGAGCAAAUGUUCAAGUGAUUCUCCUGCCUCAGCCUCCCAAGUAGCUGGGAUUACAGAUGUUGUGGAUUGGCUGUAACUCUGCUCUGGGAUCCAGGCUGAAGGAGCAGGCUCUAUCUGGAACAUUACUAGUCUCCAGGCAGAAGAAAAAGAGACAAUGGAAUGGAUGAUUGAAUGGAUGAAUGAACUCCACAGGAAGAUGAGGAAAGCCUUUAUGGAUGGAGUGAGCUUGCAGCAGAGUCUCAAAGGGGGAAUCAGUUGAUGAGAACUGCUGUUUAGAAAGACAGCCCUGGCAGCAACUCAAGCGCUGAGAGAGGACAGAACCACCAGGGAAGAGGGUAUGGGGAAGAAGAGCAGCAGGCUGAGGACAGGCCCAGGACUGAAGAAUCAGGCACAGGAAGAAGAGUCCAUGGGGCAGGCUAUGAAAUGGACAAAGGAAAACCAAAGGUGCUUCCCAAGCAGGGGGCCUGGCCACCGGAGUCCCAAGCUACCAAGAUGUCAAGUAAAGAAGAACUGAAAGCCAACUGCUGGAUGCAGCAGUGAGUGGGGGUCACAGUGGCCUUUGCCAGAACUGUUCCAGUGGAGGAGUAGAGGAAGAGAGAAAACCACAGGAGCAGGCAUCGCAAGCUCAUGCUCCACCCACACGUCCCCUUUCUCCUUUAGUCCUGUGACCCAUGUGCUUGCUCUCUUUCUCUCUCAAAGGAGAUCCAAAUUUAAAAAUAUGGAGCCAAGGGAAUCAGACCCUUUGCUAACACACUGAAUGUUAGUUUUCUUCUUCUCUUUUGCAAAAACUUCUUAUUUCACAAAAUACUCCAACAAAUAGACAAAGUACAGUGAAGUCCAGGUAGAUAUCAUCCACCUUCAGCAAUGAUCAAUCCAUGGCCAAUCUUUCAUCUCAACACUCGUAUCCUCAUUCUUGUGGAGCAAAUGCCAGACAUUCUUUCAUCCAUCAGUAUGUCAAUAUGUAUCUCUGAAAUAGAAGGACUUUUUAUAAAACAUAAUCAUAAUAUAAUUAAUAUUCGUUCCCCAAUUGUUUUGUUAUUGUCUUUUACAGUUUAAUUUUUGUUUUGUUUUGUUUUGUUUCUUUUUGAGACAGGAUCUUGCUCUGUUACCCAGGCUGGAGUGCAGUGGUGCGAUCAUGACCCAUUGCAGCCUCUACCUCCUGGGCUCAGGUGAUCCUCCCACCUCAGCCUCCCAAGUAGCUGGGGCUACAGGUGCAUGCCACCAUGUCCAGCUACUUUUUUGUAUUUUUGUAGAGAUGAGAUCUCACCAUGUUGCCCAGGCCAGUCUCAAACUCCUGGGCUCAAGUGAUCCACUUGCUCCAGCCUUCCAAAGUGCUAGGAUUACAGGCAUGAUCCAUAAUACCCAGCUACGGUUUGUUUUCAUUUGGAUGCUAAUAAGACCCAUACAUUCCAUUUGGUUGAUCUAUCUCUUCAAUUUCUUUUAAAUUUAUAAUUUUAUAAGGUCCCCUUCCACAUUUUUCUUUGUGAAAGAGGAGAAAAGACCCUUGUUCUCUGGAUCACUCUGUGGUUAAGGGGGUAGGUCCUCAAAUCAGAUGCCCUGGUUCUAUUUUGCUUUCUUGUUUUUUAGUGCUUUUUGUUUGUUACCUACACACAGAAAAGUACAUGAAUCAUAAGUGAGCAGCUUGAUGAAUUUUCAUAAGUGAACACACCUGUGUAACCACCACCCAGGUCAGGAACAGGGCAUCACUGGCACCCAAGAACCCCCUCUCAGGCCCUUUCCCAGUCUCUACCACCUCACAAAGGUCAGGUGACUUUUUCACAUCACAGUGUUACCUCUUUUUGAACUUUAUAUAAAUAGAAUCAUAGCAUACAUUUCUUGGAUGACUGGCUUCUUUCACUCACCUUUACGCUGGUGGCAUGCUUAUCGUAAUGAUUUGUUCAUUCCCAAUGCUGCAUAGUAUUCCAUUGAAUAUGAAUGUUCCACAAUCUGUUUAUCCAUUCUAGUGUUGAUGGACAUUUGGACAGUUUACAAUCUUAAGCUAUUACAAACGGUGCUAUCGUGAA